ACCACGGCCCUGACGCAAUAAUCUGUAAGUACAUAUAUGCACAUAUGCGCAGUAGUCACAGAUUUCUUCUCUCUCCUGCUGGAACACCGAGUCAGGAAAAAUAUUCAGAGCCUGAGCCGGGACGUUGCUAGUGAAGCAGAGAUUUCAGUGUGCACCUGAGGAGAGUGUUUCACUCAUCCCAUCCUAAUCCCAAUUCUGAACCUGGGUGUAAAUCCUGCUUCUGCUUGGGACGUGAUUGACAGCCUUUAAGUGCUUGUCUGCGUCUUUUAAAAUGAAAGUGACUGACACUCUUCAAGAAGAGCACACUUUCCUGCAGCCUGGAAAUGUGACUUGAUCGCCCUGAUGUGAAGAUGGUUUUCAGGUGUCUGAGCAGCUCCUCAGGCUUUUUUGCGGUACGCGGGCCUCUCACUGUUGUGGCCUCUCCCGUUGCGGAGCACAGGCUCCGGACGCGCAGGCUCAGCGGCCAUGGCUCACGGGCCCAGCCGCUCCGCGGCAUGUGGGAUCUUCCCGGACCGGGGCAUGAACCCGCGUUCCCUGCAUCGGCAGGCGGACUCCCAACCACUGCGCCACCAGGGAAGCCCCUCCUCAGGCUUUUAACCCUCUGUGGUCAGACAUCUUGUUUCCGGUCAUUGGACUGAGCCUGUGCAGGGAAGACAGACAGAACUCGCGGGAGUGCCACCAGGCUUGCUAUUAUGAACCAAAGAGGCACUUCAAUUCUGAAGGGCUUUUUUUUUUAGUUUGGUCUGUGUGAAAUCUUCAAGUUGCUAAAUUCUAAUCUCCAGAGAGGUUUUCUGGUUUCCAAACUCUGCUCAAGACUUUAAGCUUUCUUUUUGAAACAGGAUGAAUUGGGCACUCAAUGAGAGACAGAGAGAUUUAAAAUCUAACUCCUUGAGUCAAAGAAAUGGAAGUAAGAAGAUGCCACGAGAAGUUUGGGAGACCAGGAAGGAAGGAAGGAAUGUGAGAAGGGGCUCAUUUAAGAAUAACAGCCAGAAACCAAAGCUCCAUCCAACAGGAAUUUAUAAGUAUCAGGAAAAAACAGCCCUUGGUUUCUGUGACUGCUUUUUCUUUGGAUCUUAGUUGGUUCUUGACAUCAAAGCACAAAGCACAGGAGGGAUUAAACAUUCUCCAAAUGGGUCACUGCUUGGCAGCCCCGAGAUACACUAUUUAGAAACCUAACAUCUGGAAACAGACCCAGGAAUCUAUAAGAAGUUAGUAAAUGAUAGAGUGACAGUAGAGGAAAAGGUAGUGUUAUCCAAAAGUGUUAAGUCAACUGGCCAAAUAUUUGGGGAAAAUAAAUAUUGCUCAAUACUUAUACUCUACAACAAAACAAAUCCCAUAUGGAUUAAAUAUUUAUAUGCUAAAAAUAAACAAACCCCCAAACUAUAAAAGUGCUGGUGGAAGAGUGGAAUUUCGGGGUCAGGGGUGUGUGUGUACUUAAUUUGACCACAGUUUACUCUCCCACUGGCAGUGCAAGGGUUCUAUGUCUGCAAAUCCACACCAAUACCUGAUAUUAUCUAGUUUCUAGUUUUUGCCAUUUAAUAAGGCAUAAGUUUAUUUCAAAAUGCAUUUCUUAUAUUAUUAAUGAAUUUGAACAUCUCUUCAAAUUCUUUUUAGUUUUUUGGAUUUCCAUUUUCAUAAAAUGCCUGCUUAUACCCUUUGCCCAAUUUCUACUGGGGUUUCUGUAUUUUUCUUCCUGAUUUGAGAAGUUUCCUUGUGUAUUCUAGAUAUUAAUCCCUUGUUAAUUUGCACAUUGCAAAUACCAUUUUCCUCUUUGUCACUCUAAAAAGACCAAUGUUAGUAAUGUUAGUCUUUGCUGAACAGAAGUCCUUCAUUUUGAUGCAACAAAAUCUGUCUCACAGGAUCCAUAAGUGGAUGCAGGAUUGUUUGUGAUGGGAAGUUGGAGGCAGUUGGAAUGCCCAUUGCUGGGAGAGCAGAUUGGUGAAAUGUUAGAGGCACACCAAGGAGGGCUGACUAGAAGUUAGAAGCAAGGCAUCAAAUGCACACAGAACAUCAAGCAUGGAUCUUAAAAAUGCAAUGCUGAGUGAAACAAGUAAGAAGCCUAAUGAGAUAUAUAACACAAUAUCAUUUAUGUAUGUCAAUUAAAAUGCAUCAACAUCAUACAAUAUGUAUUUAGCAAAAACAUAUGCAAAUGAAAAAGAUACAUAUUCAACACCUUAGAAUGGUUUUAUGAAGGGGAGGACUGGAAUAGGAAAUGGGGAUUACAGGGAAUAAAUAAAUAAGAGAGGAGCCUAAGAAGGAUCAAUCACUGAUAAUAUCUUAGGAAAUGAAUCAACUGCGCCUGAGUAUUCCACACUCAACCACAGAAGAAAAAAGUACAGGUAAAUAUUUCUAUCAUGUGGAGGUAAGAAAAGACUUUCUCAGCAUGAUGCUAAAGACAAAAACUAUAAAGGAAAAGGAUGUUCAAGCUAAUGAAAUAAAAUAUUUUUGAAUUAUAGUAAAUAUACAUAGCAUAAAAUGUACCAUUUUAACCAUUUUUAAGUGUGCAGUUUGGUAGUGUUAAGUACCUUCACAUUGCUUCCCAACCAAUCUCCAGAACUCUUUUCAUCUGACAAAACUGAAACUCUGCACCCAGUAAACUAAUCCCCAUUUCCCCCUCCUCCCAACCCCUGGCAACCACUGUUCGAUGUUCUGUCUCUGUUCAUUUGACUCCUCUAGGUACCUCACACAAGUGGAAUCAUACAGUAUUUGUCCUUUUGUAACUGGCUUAUUUCCCUUAGCAUAAUGUCCUCAAGGUUCAUCCAUGUUGUAGCAAGUGUUAGAUUUUCCUUCCUUUUUAAGACUGAAUAAUAUUCCAUUGUACAGCAUUUGAUUUAUCCAUUCAUCUGCUGAUGGGCAAGUGGGUUAGUCCCACAUUUUGGCUAUUGUGAAUAAUGCUGCUAUAAACAUGAAUGUACAAAUAUCUCUUCAAGACCUUGCUUUCAUUUUUUUUUGAAUAUAUAUCAAGUGGAAUUGCUGAAUCAUAUGGUCAUUCUAUUUUUUCAAAGUGGCUUUGAAGAGCCACUUACUCCUAAUAUGAAGGGUCUACAUUCAGCCACAGAGUGGCCAUGGAAAAUUCCCAUUAUGUGGAGGUCAGCAGGGAGAGUCACACAUCUCUAAGGGGACCCCUGACCCUCUGAAGAUGGCAAAGGUUGCCUGAAACAAAUAUUACAAUAAAAAUGUAUUAUUAAAAUUUUAUAAGAUGUAACAAGUAUAAUAGAAAUUUACAUAAUUUAACUUUCCAGUGGUGUG